ACAAACUUGGUCAUUUAGAGGAAGUAAAAGUCGUAACAAGGUAACCGUAGGUGAACCUGCGGUUGGAUCAUUAACAAAUUUAAGAAUUGCACAGGUGUAACCCACCUGUUGCAUUCUCAACAUUUUGUGAAUCGUUUAUUGUCUCUUGGCAGUUCUUUUUUAAUAUUGAGAGGAUUUAAUCCUCUGGAUGUUGGAAACCUGCCAACUUUACUUGAACAUUUUAUGAAUAACUAUAUGUCUUGAAUUUAAAUUAUCUUAAUUUAAAACAACUUUUGACAACGGAUCUCUAGGCUCUCGCAUCGAUGAAGAACGCAGC
rnacentral:misc_RNA from 1 species